CAGAGUCUACAUACUGGAACUCCCUAUAGUAGACCAGGCUGGCUUGAAGCCUGAGUGCUGAAAUUAAAGGCAUUCCAAAGGAGAUUGAAGAAUGGGAGUCGGAGCUCCAUUGGGCAUCCCAGCUGGUGCUUUGCUUGGCGUGGAAGGAAGGACUAGAGUCUGCCGACACGGAGCCCACUGCCUCUGUAGGUCAAUGCAGGGAGUGAGGCAGCACUGCUCAUAAUCAGAGCCAGGGGAGGCCCGGAGAGCACUGCCCUCCAGCUCCAGGCAAUGUGUCCCCCACCUGCCUGCCAGUUCUCCACCAAUGGUGAAGGAGAGGACCAGAGAGGCAAGCACAAGCAAGCAGCACACCCUGACCUCUACAAAGAUCUCAUGAUGUUGAUCAUGCCUCCUAUCCAAGACCCAGGAAUUAUGCAAUAUUAGACAGGUCUCUUAUCUCUCCCACAACCUCUCAUGACCAACCUUCCAAGAUGCACUAUUCAAAUCUUGUGCUAGGUGCAAGAGCACAGGGUAAAAGACACUGUUACAGCUAUAGCUCCAACUCUGUUCUCUUCAGUCAGCAAUGGGCUCUAUUUCCCUGAGCUUCAGUCUCUAGUAGAGAAAAGAGAAUUUGUAGCUCCCACCUCCCGGGUCACUGAAUACUGUUUUAAUUAUCUCUGGGAUUAGCAGUUCUACCCAGAAAUACUAGAGGUCUGGAAUGCAAUGUGAAAGACUCCAUCCCACUGUGGGGAAAGGGCAGCAACCUUGGAACACAGCAAUGGAAAGGGUGAGGGGUUUAGGGCUUUGGGAAUGACCUCUACCAGUUACCAUGGAGUCUCUUCCAUCCAGCCUACUUGGACAAGCCUCAGGGAAUGCUCUCAUGGCUAAACCCUGUUCUCCCCGCAGCUGUGGCUGUAUACUGGAUGAGAGCCAUCCUUUCCUACUUUGUAGCCCCAAGAGAGUGGCUGUCUAUAUCUACAGAGCGUAGAGACACAGGGCCUGGGAAUGAGGAACUGGCAAGCGGCUCAGGCUUCGGGAGGCGCACUCGCUUUAGUCCCUCACCUGGCACUGGUGGAGGAUACGCUGCUGGGCUUCACGGAGAGCAGCAGAGGACCUGGGUUUGGUUCCCAGUACCUACAUGGUGACUCACAGCCGUCUCUAACUCCAGAUUCAGGGAUAGGCACUGCAAGGAUGUGGUACCCAGAC